rnacentral:rRNA from 1 species
GACGUAGGGCGCGAGCGUUGUCCGGAUUUAUUGGGCGUAAAGAGCUCGUAGGCGGCUCGUUGCGUCAACCGUGAAAACCCGGGGCUUAACUUCGGGCUUGCGGUUGAUACGGGCGGGCUGGAGUUCGGUAGGGGAGACUGGAAUUCCUGGUGUAGCGGUGAAAUGCGUAGAUAUCUGGAGGAACACCGGUGGCGAAGGCGGCAUCCUGGACCAAUUCUGACGCUGAGGAGCGAAAGCCAGGGGAGCAAACGGG